CACCAAGCUGAGAUCUGGGGACAGCAGGUAACAAGACAAGCUUCCCCUCAUCGCACUUGGAUGUUCGACCCCUACCUCUCAUUGGGUAUUUUCUUUCUCAUCCCACCACAUGAAUUACAGAGGAAGAAAAAGAGCAUUUUCAAGGAGGAGUGAAUGAAACAAAGAAGACCGCGGCCC
rnacentral:lncRNA from 1 species